rnacentral:rRNA from 1 species
UACGUAGGCAGCAAGCGUUGUUCGGAGUUACUGGGCGUAAAGGGUGCGUAGGCGGUUGUUUAAGUUUGGUGUGAAAUCUCCCGGCUCAACUGGGAGGGUGCGCCGAAUACUGAAUGACUAGAGUGCGGGAGAGGAGAGUGGAAUUCCUGGUGUAGCGGUGAAAUGCGUAGAUAUCAAGAGGAACACCAGUGGCGAAGGCGAGUCCCUGGACGAUACCUGACACUGAGGCACGAAAGCCAAGGGAGCAAACAGG